AUACGGAGGAUGCGAGCGUUAUCCGGAUUUAUUGGGUUUAAAGGGAGCGUAGGUGGGAUAUUAAGUCAGCUGUGAAAGUUUGGGGCUCAACCUUAAAAUUGCAGUUGAUACUGGUUUCCUUGAGUACGGUACAGGUGGGCGGAAUUCGUGGUGUAGCGGUGAAAUGCUUAGAUAUCACGAAGAACUCCGAUCGCGAAGGCAGCUCACCGGGCCGGAACUGACACUGAUGCUCGAAAGUGCGGGUAUCAAACAGGAUUAGAUACCCUGGUAGUCCGCACAGUAAACGAUGAAUACUCGCUGUUUGCGAUACACUGUAAGCGGCCAAGCGAAAGCGUUAAGUAUUCCACCUGGGGAGUACGCCGGCAACGGUGAAACUCAAAGGAAUUGGCGG
rnacentral:rRNA from 1 species